ensembl:lncRNA
CUGUGGGAUCCUAUAGGGUUCUGUGGGGUCCUAUGGGGUUCUGUGGGGGUCCUAUGGGGGUCUAUGGAGUCCUAUGGGGGUCCUAUAGGGGUCUAUGGGGUUCUGCGGGAUCCUAUAGAGGUCAAUGGGGUUCUGUGGGAUCCUAUAGGGUUCUGUGGGGUCCUAUGGGGUUCUGUGGGGGUCCUAUGGGGGUCUAUGGAGUCCUAUGGGGGUCCUAUAGGGGUCUAUGGGGUUCUGCGGGAUCCUAUAGAGGUCAAUGGGGUUCUGUGGGAUCCUAUAGGGGUCUAUGGGUUCCUCUGGGUGUCCUAUAGCGAUCAAUGGGAUUCGACGGCGUUUUGGGACCCCCCCGAAAUCCCCCCCGCCCCAAAAAGGGACCCCAAAAC